GGGCCCGCACAAGCGGUGGAGCAUGUGGUUUAAUUCGAUGAUACGCGAGGAACCUUACCAGGGCUUAAAUGUAAGUUGCAUAGACCAGAGAUGGUCUUUUCUUCGGACUACUUACAAGGUGCUGCAUGGUUGUCGUCAGCUCGUGCCGUGAGGUGUCAGGUUAAGUCCUAUAACGAGCGCAACCCCUGUCGUUAGUUGCCAUCAAGUAAAGUUGGGUACUCUAGCGAGACUGCCGGUGCAAACCGUGAGGAAGGUGGGGAUGACGUCAAAUCAUCACGGCCCUUACGUCCUGGGCUACACACGUGCUACAAUGGCCGGUACAGAGAGCAGCCACUACGCGAGUAGGAGCGAAUCUAUAAAACCUAUCUCAGUUCGGAUCGUAGGCUGCAACUCGCCUACGUGAAGGAGGAAUC
rnacentral:rRNA from 1 species